rnacentral:rRNA from 1 species
CCCUUAGACGUUCUGGGCCGCACGCGCGCUACACUGACCAGUGCAACAAGCAUCCGUCCUUGGCCGACAGGCUCGGGCAAUCUUUGAACGCUGGUCGUGAUGGGGAUAGACUUUUGCAAUUUUUGGUCUUCAACGAGGAAUUCCUAGUAAACGCAAGUCAUCAACUUGCAUUGAUUACGUCCCUGCCCUUUGUACACACCGCCCGUCGCACCUACCGAUUGAAUGGUCCGGUGAAGCCUCCGGAUUGGCGCGCACCUCGGUGCCGCCGAGAAGUUGGCUAAAUCUUACCAUUUAGAGGAAGGUGAAGUCGUAACA